rnacentral:rRNA from 1 species
GAUGAACGCUAGCUAUAGGCUUAACACAUGCAAGUCGAGGGGAAACGGCAUUAUGUGCUUGCACAUUUUGGACGUCGACCGGCGCACGGGUGAGUAUCGCGUAUCCAACCUGCCCUUUACUUGGGGAUACCCCGUUGAAAGACGGCCUAAUACCCGAUGUAAUUCAUUGAUGGCAUCAGAUAUGAAUAAAAGAUUUAUCGGUAAAGGAUGGGGAUGCGUCUGAUUAGCUUGUUGGUGAGGUAAUGGCUCACCAAGGCAACGAUCAGUAGGGGUUCUGAGAGGAAGGUCCCCCACAUUGGAACUGAGACACGGUCCAAACUCCUACGGGAGGCAGCAGUGAGGAAUAUUGGUCAAUGGGCGCAAGCCUGAACCAGCCAAGUAGCGUGCAGGAAGACGGCCCUAUGGGUUGUAAACUGCUUUUAUACGAGAAUAAUUUGAUGCACGUGUGCGUUAUUGCAUGUAUCGUAUGAAUAAGGACCGGCUAAUUCCGUGCCAGCAGCCGCGGUAAUACGGAAGGUCCAGGCGUUAUCCGGAUUUAUUGGGUUUAAAGGGAGUGUAGGCGGUUUGUUAAGCGUGUUGUGAAAUUUAGAUGCUCAACAUUUAACUUGCAGCGCGAACUGUCAGACUUGAGUACACGCAACGUAUGCGGAAUUCAUGGUGUAGCGGUGAAAUGCUUAGAUAUCAUGAAGAACUCCGAUUGCGAAGGCAGCAUACGGGAGUGUAACUGACGCUUAAGCUCGAAGGUGCGGGUAUCGAACAGG